rnacentral:rRNA from 1 species
GCUCAACCGGGGAGGGUCAUUGGAAACUGGGGAACUUGAGUGCAGAAGAGGAGAGUGGAAUUCCACGUGUAGCGGUGAAAUGCGUAGAGAUGUGGAGGAACACCAGUGGCGAAGGCGACUCUCUGGUCUGUAACUGACGCUGAGGCGCGAAAGCGUGGGGAGCGAACAGGAUUAGAUACCCUGGUAGUCCACGCCGUAAACGAUGAGUGCUAAGUGUUAGAGGGUUUCCGCCCUUUAGUGCUGCAGCAAACGCAUUAAGCACUCCGCCUGGGGAGUACGGUCGCAAGACUGAAACUCAAAGGAAUUGACGGGGGCCCGCACAAGCGGUGGAGCAUGUGGUUUAAUUCGAAGCAACGCGAAGAACCUUACCAGGUCUUGACAUCCUCUGACAACCCUAGAGAUAGGGCUUCCCCUUCGGGGGCAGAGUGACAGGUGGUGCAUGGUUGUCGUCAGCUCGUGUCGUGGGAUGUUGGGUUAAGUCCCGCAACGAGCGCAACCCUUGAUCUUAGUUGCCAGCAUUCAGUUGGGCACUCUAAGGUGACUGCCGGUGACAAACCGGAGGAAGGUGGGGAUGACGUCAAAUCAUCAUGCCCCUUAUGACCUGGGCUACACACGUGCUACAAUGGGCAGAACAAAG